CAGCAGCCGCGGUAAUACGUAGGGUGCGAGCGUUAAUCGGAAUUACUGGGCGUAAAGCGUGCGCAGGCGGUUCGUUAAGACAGAUGUGAAAUCCCCAGGCUUAACCUGGGAACUGCAUUUGUGACUGGCGAGCUAGAGUAUGGCAGAGGGGGGUAGAAUUCCAGGUGUAGCGGUGAAAUGCGUAGAGAUCUGGAGGAAUACCGGUGGCGAAGGCGGCCCCCUGGACAAAGACUGACGCUCAGGUGCGAAAGCGUGGGGAGCAAACAGGAUUAGAUACCCGCGUAGUCCCUGUCUCUUAACA
rnacentral:rRNA from 1 species